rnacentral:rRNA from 1 species
GCCAUGCGAGUCGAGAGGUGUAAGACCUCGGCAUACUGCUCAGUAACACGUGGUUAACCUGCCCUAAGGUGGAGAAUACUCCCGGGAAACUGGGGUUAAUGCUCCAUAGUGGAUAUGUCCUGGAAUGGUAUAUCCUCGAAAGAUCCGUCGCCUUAGGAUGGGACUGCGUCCGAUUAGGUUGUUGGCGGGGUAACGGCCCACCAAGCCAUUGAUCGGUACGGGUUGUGGGAGCAAGAUCCCGGAGAUGGAUUCUGAGACAUGAAUCCAGGCCCUACGGGGCGCAGCAGGCGCGCAAACUUUACAAUGCGAGCAAUCGUGAUAAGGAAACCCUGAGUGCCUGUCGAUGCAGGCUGUUCAUAUAUCUAAAUCAUAUGUGAAGAAAGGGCAGGGCAAGACCGGUGCCAGCCGCCGCGGUAAUACCGGCUGCUCGAGUGAUGGCCACUAUUACUGGGUUUAAAGCGUCCGUAGCUUGACUGUUAGGUCCCUUGGGAAAUCUUCGCGCUUAACGUGAAGGCGUCUAAGAGAUACCGGCAGUCUUGGAACUGGGAGAGGUAAACCGUACUUCGGGGGUAGGAGUGAAAUCUUGUAAUCCUCGAGGGACGACCUAUGGCGAAGGCAGUUUACCAGAACAGCUUCGACAGUGAGGGACGAAAGCUGGGGGAGCAAACGGGAUUAGAUACCCCGGUAGUCCCAGCCGUAAACAAUGUGCGUUAGGUGUGUCGGUAACCACGCGUUACUGAUGCGCCGAAGAGAAAUCGUGAAACGCACCACCUGGGAAGUACG